rnacentral:rRNA from 1 species
ACGGAGGAUCCAAGCGUUAUCCGGAUUUAUUGGGUUUAAAGGGUGCGUAGGCGGACCUGUAAGUCAGUGGUGAAAUCCUGCAGCUUAACUGUAGAACUGCCAUUGAUACUGUUGGUCUUGAGUACAGUUGAGGUAGGCGGAAUGAGUAGUGUAGCGGUGAAAUGCUUAGAUAUUACUCAGAACACCGAUUGCGAAGGCAGCUUACUAAACUGUCACUGACGCUGAUGCACGAAAGCGUGGGGAGCGAACAG